CCGGGUCUUACCUGUUGCGGAGCUCGGGGGCAGCGGGUGCGUAGUGGCCGUGGCAGCCUGUAGCUGCCCGCGCCGUCAGGGCAAGAGUAGAGUCCCGCGGAGCCCCGCCGCAGCAGAGCGGCUUUGCACUGCCUGUCACCAUGUGAGCGAUGCCGGCGCGGAGGAGAGCGGGUGGCUGCUCGGGCUGGCCAGGGCAACGGUGAGAGCAGCCGCCGCCCGUCCGCACCUUCACUACGGCAGUCCCCGCCCGGGGUCUUCCUGGAAAGUUUCGAGAACUCCUUAAAAUGGGAAGCGGCACCAGGAAAGACCGAGCUCUCGGCGGCUGCUCUCCAGCGAAUGCGACUGGCUCCUGCCUCGACCUGCAGGCAGCACCAAGGCACCCGCAGCACCGGGCGUAGCCUGGUCGGGCUGGGCUGCGGAGGGCAGCGAUGGGUCGGAUCCCAGAGGAGGUCUUCAACAUGGUUCGUACUGAACAGCUAUCUUCCUGCAUGCAGCUCAGUGUGGACUGAUUGCAACAAAUGGUCAACUUAGCAUAUUGCAGAUGGCUUUGGUUGGGAGGCAUCAUGGAUAGUAUCUGAAAGGCUCUGCUUUUCAUACUCUCCCCCCAAAAAAAGUAACUAGGAAAGAAUUUACCUGUAUGUCCAGUGAUAAUGUUACCAGCAGCUAUUCCCUGUGAAGGAGUGAGAUACAUUACAAUUAAUUUGUGGCAAUGUUACUGCCUUUCUGGAGAGGUUGAAAUGUUGGAAGGUAGGUACCCCAAGGAUUUCAUUAGUGCCAUUCAACAGUCAAUGAAUAGAUAAAAGCCACAAGGCAAAAGAAAGGUAUGGUAACAAAUAAAACUUAACGUGAAAAUAGUGGUUUUAAAGUA
rnacentral:lncRNA from 14 species